AAUAAAAAAACUGAAUUUUUCAUUAAAUUGAGAAAAUAAACAAACUUAAUAACCUAAUUUCAAUCAAUUAAGAAAACAAUCGGCUCCAAUAGUUAUAUUGUGAUACAACUUAUAUUUACCUCUAUUUAUAUUUGUGAGAAAAGACUAAAAGAGAAAAUAAAUAAAACAAUUUUAAAAUAAUUUUAUUUAAUUAACUACGUGCAUUUAAAUCUUGAAAGACAUAGAAGAAUAUAAGCUUUAUCCAACUCUCGACUUACUCGAAAAAAAAAUGAACGAAGACUUUUUGCACAGCAGUAUUGACUCUGCAAUCUUUGCAAGGAGAGGAGACGUGUCGAAUUAAAAUUUAUUGACACUAUUUGUUGCUAGAGUUAUUUUUAUUGACAGCGCUGCAUGCUAGGUUGACUUAUAGUGGUGAGUAGGUAAGCAGUAGUUAUUGAAAGAUUACCAUUAUUAUUAUUAACUGAGGGGAGGAGGAAGUUUUCUACGGUCAAAACCACGUGUGCCCGCCGGGCAGCAGGCGUUUCUUCUUCUUCGACGAAAUUACCAUUACUGCCACAUCCUUGUUUGUUUCCAUCCUAAAAAAUAAAAAUGCAUUUCAUUUCAACGUCUCUGGCUUCCAGAGAAAUUAAUUAGACAACACAUAUUAAAAUCAUUACCAAAUCCAACAAUUUUUACCUACUACUAAAAAUCUUCUUCUUCUUGCUCAAACUAAGUAGACGUACCCCGAAAUUACAGAAAGGCAGUCCACCAAUCAUCAGUCAUCGAUGGAGGUGGCGAUGGAGGCUUUAGGCAAAGGUUUUGAUCUGACGAGUGAUUUUAGACUUCGAUUUGCAAAGGGAAGUCAGAGAUUGGUGGUUCUUGAUGAGGUUAACAAACGGGACCUUCUAAUUCCUCCAACUGGGGUCACCAUCAAAGCUGUUUCUCAAGAUAUUCGCGUGGAUAAAGGCGAUCGAAUUCGUUUUAAAUCCGAUGUUCUUGAAUUCAAUCAGGUGUAUUUAUUUAUACUCCUUUUUUCAUUUAUUAUUCACACACACACACAGAGAUAUAUAUAUAUAUAUAUAUAUAUAUUAUUUAUUUAUUUAUUAAAUUCAUAGAAUUUAUGUUCCCUGUUAUCUUGCUCCUUCUCUGCAGAUGUCUGAAUUACUAAAUCAGAAAUGUUCAAUUCAAGGGAAAGUUCCUUCGGGAUAUCUUAAUGCUAUUUUCGAUUUGACUGGGGACUGGUUCCAUGAUGCUGCAGACACCAAAUAUCUUGCCUUUGAUGGUUACUUCAUUUCAUUGUACUAUUUGCACCUUACAACAUCUUCUUUAGAACUACAAGACCAUGUAAAGAUGGCAGUUCCUCCCCAUUGGGAUCCAGCAUCGUUGGCUAGGUAGCUAUUUAACUCUUCAUUUCUUUAGUAGAUAGCAUUUUGCUUACACAAUAUUCCGCUUUUUAAAGUUUUCUAAUUCUUCUAGCCCAAGUAACAAGGAAAUUAAAAUAUAUUCCUGCAUUCAAAAUGUGGGUGAGUUGCAGCACAUCUAAUCACUUUAGUUUCAGAACCAUUUUUCAAUUUUAAAAGUAAGAUGGUAAAUUCUUACCUAUGUUUAUCGUAUGAAUGUGUCCUUAACAAAUGUUGGAAACACUCAACUUGUCAAGUAUUUGAUAUUCAAUGUUUGAUAGAGUGACAAUAUGAAUAUGUGCCCCCCUAUAACAUGGAAUAGUAUCCGUGUUUCAAUUCCAUGUUUCUAAUUCUCCAGCGUUUUGUCUAGGUGGAUAGCUAAAUUGAAAUCUUCAUACAUUAUUUAUUGUCUAAUGAUUCAAAGUUCCUUGUGCAUUUAAAAUGCUUUCUCAAAAGUUCCAACUAGCAGAACAAAUUUUUAACAGAUCGUUGAUUAAAAGAAUAUUUAGGUCUCUGAGUUUUCACGUUUUAUUAAAUAUGACUCUUACCCUAUUCAAGUAACUAGAUUUUUAAUAGACACUCUAUUAAACUUUUCUGUAACAAUCUAGGGAAAAUAACUCCAAACUAGAGCCUACUGCAGUCAUUUACGAGAAGAUCAAGGACCUGUUUAAUGGCAAACAAGGAAAAAAAAAUGAAACUUAACUGACUUAUUAAUCAUUCAUUUUAAUGACUGGACUUAGUGCUUACUUAUAUUUUAUAAAAAUUAACAAAUUCAUACAAAAUAUUACGGAGGGGCCUCUAUCGGGGUAGUUAGUUCGCUUGUAAAAUUACAGGGGUUGGUACUGGAGAUCUAGGUUCUAUCUUGCUCAUUAAUUGAAUAAAGAAAUACCAAGCAAUUUAAUUUCAUUUACACUUACUAGAUCUGGAAUCUACAGAAGUUUUGUAAUAAUCCUUAUGGAGUUCUUAUGUUUCUCAACUGAAGAAUCCAGUGGCAUGGUUUUAAGAUGGCUACUAGAAUUUUGACACUCUUGAAGUCAUCAUAUUUUGCUCAUUUCCUAUUCUGGAGGAUUUUUAUCUUUUAUUAUUGUUUUCACAUUAUAAGUGAGGAUUGUCUUUGCUGAAUUCAACUCAUAUUGAGUAAGCAUUGUCUCAUCUUUAUUGAAAUCAGCAAAACUUUUAAUGAUAAUUUAGAAUGGUUUCUAUCCAUUUUGUCACUUUGACAGUUCCAUAGCUGGCAGUACAAAGGUCUGGCAAUGGCAGAUGAAGAACUUUGAAACACUUAGUGAAUGGCAUAUUCAUGUCGAUGGUGGUAGAAAGACAUAGUUACAGGGCUUUGUUCUAAAAUUAUGUACUGAAGAAAUGUCCUGUAGCAGAUUUAUUUUAUAAGCAUUCUACCAAUUAUUUUUUAGUAGAUAACAUGUUUGUUUUCUUACUAUGAUAGUUCUCAUGAGUCAAUGAUGCAUCAAUUUCCAGCAUUAAAAUCGAAGUCUGAUUUGACUUACAUGAAAAUUGAAGUUUGAUUUGACUUAGUAACAUUCAUUUUGCCUAGACUUUUUCUUUUGACUCGUUAACUGUAUUGGCCUUUCAUCUGUGUUACCAUUUACAUGCUAUUGUGGGCAAUUCUAAUGGCCUUGACUUUCCAUAUUGUGGUGAAAUAUGAGUGAUGAUUACUCUUCAGCUGUUUUCCCAAGAGUUUGUUACUACACUGACAGAUCCUUACUAGGAUUCUACUUUGAAUAAACAUGCCUUAUGGUCUAGAGGCUUUUGAUUAAUCAUAUGAUUACAAUUUGUGUGGAAUUUAACUUUUCUAAAGCUAAUUGUGGAAGCAUAUAGAAAUUGGUAUUCAAGAGAACUCUGUUUUUUAACUAUAUUUUGAUUAUCGUUAGAAAAGGAUUUUUAGAAACUUAUUUUUACAGUGGAUGCCAUAUGCUAUGCUUUUUUGAAUUGGAAAUACGAAUGCCAUUGUUUCCUUAUUACACUCCACUCACACACAUGUAUGAAUAAUUAUCUAAUGAGGGAGCCUCAUUUUAAUAAAGUGAGGACCAAACUAAAAGACAAGAAACAAAGUGCUUUACUAAUGCAUUGUUUUUUUUUCUUUUAUUGAAUUGAAGUCCUUUUUUCUUAUAUUUUUUUAUAGCCUGGUCUGUAUUUUUUUAAGGUGAGGGCGCCCUCACUAUUCAGACUUCGUGUUAAAAUACAAACUAACAUAAGAGAGAGAAUUGAUCUGGCUAGACAUAUUACUUAUUUACUUCUGGUGAGCAAGAUCCCCACAUGGGUGCCUUGGAAUGUGUGUAGUUAUUUAUUAUUCUUUUUGGAGUGUUUGCUGCUUCCAUGUGUCCAAGGCACCUGUGUGGGUGUGCAGCAGAUCAUUAUGUGGGCAAUGUUGCUUGGUAAGACCUGUAUACUUGUUGUUCACUCUAAAUAGUUUGGUAGAUAAGCCACAUUGAUUUGUUCAUAAACUUGCCUUGGUGUGGUACUGGAUGCUAAUCAUUUUAGUAGGCAGGUUCAUUCAAACAUAUGGGACACACAUAAUAGUGGGGAUGGCUGUUGGAGGUCAAGAUUUAAUUUGUGUUAGACAGAAACCUUCAUCAGCGAUCCCUCCUGCCGAUCUCAGAAGAUAUUUAGAGGAUCUUGGAGAUUAUCUAUUUUCAGAUGGAAAAAGCCCUUCGUUUCUGGAAAGGAAAACAAGAGAUGGAAAACAGAAGGUUUUUUUUUUUUAAAAAAAUAAAUAAAUACAGAACAGAAGGUAUUUUUGCUUCAGUCAAAAUUGGAUGUUAUUUUGCCUUGAUGAUAAAUUUUGCUAAAUAUUGCUGUAGGUUCCAGAAAUUUUCAGUCAGAUUCUUCGCUCAAACACGAUGCAGUUAACCAGUAUUACCGAAACAUCAAGCAAGGAUGUAAGUCAUUACCUGUUAGAGAUGCCUGUGUUCGUUCUGAUUCAUAUUUCUGAGGAAUAUGAAUCUUACAUUACCCAUACUGAGUUAGUCAUGGAAAAUGGUAAAUCUAUUAGAUUUUGGGAUGACAAAUGGGAUUCUGAGAUGCUCCUUUGUGUGAGUAUGCACCUCAUCUUUAUAGACUUUGCUCUUAUAAAAAUGGUGCAAUCCAUUCUUCUGUGAAAUUUCUCUUCUCCUUCCAAUUGGAAUUGGAGCUUGAAUUUCAAAAGAAACUUGAGAGAGAGAAAGAAAUUCAAAAGUUUGCUACUGUUAUGAAUUUGAUUGAUAGUCUUACUAUUGAUGAAGGGAAAGAAGAGAGUGCAGAAGUUGAAGUCUUCUGGAGUUUUCACUUGUGAAUCCUAUCUUGGAUUGCUAAUUAAUGAUAUGGAAAGAUAGAUUCCCCACACCCACCACAAAAAAUAAAUAAAUAAAUAAAUAAAAUAAAUAGAUAGAUAAAUAGUAAAUCAAUUCAUUCUUUGGGGCCUAGCUCAAAGAAAAAUUAACACUAGUGAAGUGAUUCAAAAAAAGUAUCCAUCUAUGCAUCUUUUGUCUUCAUGGUGUGUGAUGUGUAGAAAAAGUGAAGAGAACACUAAUCAUUUGUUUCUUCGUUGUGAGGUUGCUUCUAGAUUUUGGGAAAAAUUAUGCAAAGAAGUAAAUUUUUCUUGGGCUAUUAUUCCAUGUCCUUGUGAAGCUUUGUUAAUGGAGAGCAUUGAUACCUUUGGAAAAGGGAGGAAAGCUAAGACUUUUUGGAGAAAUGCAGUUUCAGCUAUCUUUUGGGUCAUUUGGAAUGAAAGAAGCAGUAGAAGCCUCAAAGAGUCAAGAGGGGACAGUUAUGAUAGAUUGUGGGAUAGAGUUCACCUUUUUGCUUCGUUUGGUUGUCGGUGACUAAGGAUUUCCAGGAAACUUCAUUUUUCUUCAUUCAUCUUAAUUGGAGGGGAUUUUUAGGGAUUUACAGUGUAUUCUGCUCAUUUUUGUAGAGGGUUAGGAAGUCUCUUUUGGGUUAAAUCAGACUUUUGGGGAUUGAUACUGUGUUGUUUAGCUUUGAUUAAUUUUGGAUGGAUACCUGAUCCACUACUAAAGUGUAAUAUGUCCAUUAUUCAUUAAUACAAAUACUUAUAGUUUUCUUAUUGAAAAAAAAAAUUUGAAUCAAUAUGCAGGCUUUGAAUCUUUCUGUCUUUAAUUUUCACUUACAGGGACUCACCAUUGUCUGUUCAAAAAGAGGUGGCGAUGUGUUCUUGCAGAAUCAUUCCAGUUGGCUGCAGACUGUUCCUGCUAAACCAGAAGGAAUUCUCUUCAAGUUUGUACCCAUUACUGCUCUGCUUACUGGGAUUCCAGGCAGCGGCUACCUUAGUCAUGCAAUCAACUUGUAUUUGCGUUGUACGUGCUUCCAUACCGAAUCAGUCAAUUGAAAAUCAGUUCUUAAUUUACUGUUCUAUUUUAAUUGCUCAGACUUCGCUAUUUUAGAAGUAUCAUUGGGUAUAUGGUUUAGACUUGUAUGUCUAUUGCAUUAGUUUCCAUGCGUGCAUGAGUGCAUAAACAGACCAAAAACCACCUCAAUAGUUGACAAGGAUCAAGUAAAUUAAAAGAAGGAUGAAGGCUUUCGAUAUUAGAAUUAAUUUCUACUAGUCACUGGCUGUUUUUCUCUGUCAUUUAAAUGCAGUAUUAAAGUCACUCAAAUCUCUGUACUAAAGCACAGAGUUGAGUUAUUUUAUUCUAUACGUUCUUCUGCAUAAAAAAUUAUUUCCUCAGUCAUUGUAGCAUGUUUAUAUUCAUAAGUUUAUAAGUUUCUCAUCUUCUAAAUUAAUUUUUUCGUUAAUGGGGUUGUCUCUUUCCAGACAAGCCAGCCCUAGAGGAUUUGCAGUACUUCUUGGAGUUUCAAGUUCCCCGGCAAUGGGCACCUAUGUUCUGUGAGCUCCCGCUUCGGCAUCAAAAUAAAAAGGGUUCUUGUCCUUCCCUGCAAUUCAGUUUCAUGGGUCCAAAGGUUCAUGUCAGCUCGACUCAGGUACUUGAUGAUUAACAAAGUUCUAGACUUAUUAAUUUAUUAGCUCUCAAAAGUCACAUAACUAUAUUAAAUGUAUGUUGUGAAUGAUGGCAUAUUAUCUCGUUGAACCUAGAGAGAUGCAUAAAGCAAAAAAAUUUUGAAGAUCAGAGGAAAUCUCAUGAUUGCUUAGAUUAUGAGUAAUAAAAGAAACAACUUGCAUUUUCGUUUGUAGAUUCAGUUGAAAUCAAAGUGGCUUUUUAUUGAUUCAGAAUACUUGAUGAAAAAGAGAAAAACUUUAUUGGUUUGGCUGAGGAAGCUCUCAGGGUGUUCCUAAAUUAUAAUCAGACUCCAAAGUCAUCGUGACCCAAAAAUUAAUAAAACCAGCUGCUAUUUCCUCCUUCCUUGUCUGGACAAGGGGUCUCAUAUUAUAAAGUUCCAAAGGGUUGAAAAUUUAACCAUUUUCUACCUACAAAUGUCGCUACUAAGUCUAAUAGCACCAUCUUGUUUCCUUUAACUUCUAACCAAUAAGUGUUCAUUGUGUAAAGUCUCUACGAAUAUGGAUUAGUUUAUAUGUGAUGAAUCAAGAGCUAAUAAUUUGAGGUUUUGAAAAUUUGAGAGAUCAUUAUUCUCUUAGAAAUUAGGAUUUUAUUUUAUUACUGUUGUCUUUAUCUUUUAGUUCUAGAAAUAUUAAGAUUCUAUCUUGUAUUAAGGUUAUCUUAGGUUAGGAUUUUCCAUUGAUUUCUUUUUCUUAACCCAACCCUAUAAAUAAGCUUGCUUAAGUAGUAGUUAGGAGACUUGGUGAAUUAUUGGAAUAAAAGCAAAAAUUUGAGUUUACCAGCUAGAUGCUUUUGGUAAUCUUCAAUUUACCCCAACAUAAUGGAGAUUUUAUGUGCCCCUCAAAUGCCCUGAAGUCUCCCUUAGAUUUAAUGGUGCUAAGAUUAUUUCGGUCUUUUGCACUCUUGAUUUUUAACUGAGUCAAGGGUAUUUUCAACUUUACCCAAUUAAACAGCAAAUUAAACAAAAUAUAACAUGAACGAAAUUAAAAAGAAUUACAUAACUUCAUCAAACCUAAUCCCUAGAGAGGAAAAUGUGGCCUAGAGUAGGCAACGGGACAGGACAGGCCGGGAUUUGGCAAUCUUGAUCGUGUCCUGAGUAUUUAAACGAGACAAAAAAAUCACUCGUAUCCGAUCCUGUUUUUUAUAGUUGGGACUGAAAAAUCGUCAUCUGCACUGCUAUUUUCCCAAUCCUGUCCCAUUUAAUUAAAAAAAAAAACUCAAAUCAAUAAAUACAAAAUUUCCAAUUCAAACAUAUCCUUUUAUCCAUCACAAACCCUGAGUACAAACCACUAUUUUAAUUUACAAGUUUGAAUCAAAUUCACACACUAUACUUACAAAUUGUAUGUUAAAAGUUACAAAUAUGGGAGAGAUAAGAGAGUUGUGGGCUUAGCGUUUUAUUGCGAGUAUGCUGCAGGCUGUAGCUUCUUGUUGGUGAUGGCUCACCGUUGCUGGUUGCUGGUUUUAGGUGGUGGUGGCAUCACCACGUGAGGCUGUUGUGCAUGCCGACUCUAAGGGGCUGACAGUCGUGAGGGUGUUAUCAUGAGUGGAGAUCUUGGCGGCUGGAGUAGUGAGCUUGUGAGGAUAAGGUUGGGGAGACUAUAACUAAUUGGUUCUUUAAGCUUGUGUUUUGGAUUUGGUGAGGAUAAGGUAGUGGUUUGGUCAAUAUGUCACUUAGGUUCUUUUUAAAAAAAUUAUUUAAUGAAAAUUAAAUUAAAAAAAUGGUGGAAUCGAGAUGUCAUGAUCCUGACAGGAUUUGAAAUUUGAUCCCAAGCCUAUCUUGAUUGAAAAAUAAGGAAAUUUUUCUCUUGAGUCCUUAUCGAUUUUAAAUUGGGAUUAAAAAAUUUUUUUCCCAAAUUGUGUCCCAAUUGAUAUGGGAUCCCGAAUCCUAAUUAGAUUCGAAGAAUUCUGCCAUUCCAAGUGUGGCCCCUAAGGGCCCCGGUCAAGUGGUUUCCAAUCAAUGUUAUUAGGGUCGCCAUCUGAGUUUGAAUUUUGAGGGAGGAAGGUGGUUAAAAAAUUGAUUUGGGCUUUGGCCAUCACUCUACUUUUUAUUUUUUAUUUUUUAGAACAAAAGGGUGGAAAGUGCGGACCAUUGUAGACAUUUGAAGUGUUUGAAUCUAAUGGUCUGCUAGUUGUGCAUGAUUUUCUCUGAAGAAUAACUGGUGAUCUAACCCAUAUUGAAUUGAUCUAAUAUACAGUAGUACUAUCUCGAGUAACCUAAACUUCCUGUGUAAAAGAUUAUAAAACUUUUAAUGUUGAUGAUUAAUCAAAGACAUGUCUGACUGUACUUAUAACUAUAUACAAGUUUUCUCUAAUAUAGAAUAAAAAAUUUUGACGGUUCAAUUAAUGUGAACAUAUUCAUUUACAGCCCUUAUUUGAAUUAUUCUUUUUUUAAAAAAAAAAUUAUGUAAAUAGCAUGUUAAUGUAGAACAUGCCCCUUUCCGACCCUUAACCUCUUUUACCAACCCAAGAAAUCUUUACCAAUUUUACUGAACUAGAAGGCUGGAUACCUCCUCUGACAUAUUUCGUUUGGUCAAUAAUAAAUAUAGAUCUUAUUCCCUUUCCUUCUUAUUUUCUUAUCGACUUAAAAACCCAUCUCCGUGUGUUCUCUACUUACAAUUUUAGUUUGUAGCAAAUGACUGGGUGUUUAGUGUUUGAAUAUUUCAUAGCAUUGUAGCAGUUUCCAAUAUAGAUCUUAUUCCCUUUCCUUCUUGUUUUCUUAUCGACUUAAAAACCCAUCUCUGUGUGUUCUCUACUUACAAUUUUAGUUUGUAGCAAAUGACUGGGUGUUUAGUGUUUGAAUAUUUCAUAGCAUCAUAGCAGUUUCCAAUAUAUAUAUGUAUACACACACACACACACCAUGCACACAUAUAUAUACCAUACAUCCAGCCCAAGUCGAGCAUCCCCAUGGAAUUGAACCCUUGACCUCUUGCUUCAUGGAAAGAGGACAACCGAGCUAUCCUUUGGGGAUACUUUCUACAAUAUAGUAUGUAAGCCACUAAAUAUGUGUUUGUGUGUGUGUGUGUGUUGUUUGUAUGACAUUGGUUCCAUUUACCCUUGACACUAACCUUGGAGGGAAAAUUUCUUUAAUUUGGUGUGGGUUGAGGGGGUAUGAAUGUAUUAAAAAAAUCGUACCUUUUAUGUCUUAUGACAAGUUCAGCUGUUAAAAGCCUACCAUUGCUGAUUUGGUACUUUAAAUUUCUCUCUUUGUGCCAUAUCAGGUUUCAAGUGAUCAAAAACCAGUGGUUGGCCUGCGCUUAUACUUGGAAGGAAAAAAAUGUAAUCGGCUGGCAUUGCAUACACAACAUCUCACGAGCCUACCAAAUAUCAUGACCUUUCCUGCAGCCAACAGCUCUGUAUGCAGACCAUGUCAAUGGCGUGGUUCUGAUGACUACAAAUCUAGUGACCAAUUUUUAGAACCUAUGAAAUGGAAAAGAUACUCCAAUGUGUGCACGUCAGUGGUUAAGUAUGAUCCAAACUGGUUGCAUGGAGAUUCAAGUGGUGUUUUUAUUGUCACUGGUGCACAGCUCCUCACCAAAGGGAAGCGGCCCAAGACAGUGCUGCAUCUUCGUCUUCUCUUCACCUACUUACCCAACUGUGCAAUCCGAAAGACAGAGUGGGCAGCUGCACCAAGAACUCACAAGUCUAGUUUUCUUAUGAAUCUGAGUACAACAUUCUCAUUCACUCAAAGGAGUAUCACUGGUCCCCAAAAGCAGGCUCCAGUUGUGCUAAAUUCUGGUGUAUUUCCAGAUGGUCCACCUACUCAGGUUUGCAAGGGAAAGGUUCUUAAAUUUGUGGAAACAGCAGAGGUUGUGCGGGGUCCCCAUGAUGUCCCAGGACAUUGGUUAGUAACAGCUGCCAAGCUAGUGACUGAGGGGGGUAAGAUUGGUUUGCAUGUAAAGUUUGCACUGUUAGACUAUCCAUGAAUUGUAUUUUACUUUGUACAUAAAAGAGUGGAUUUGUUUUGUGUCCAUUGAUUUUAAAUGGUUAUUUGUUUGUUAAUGCAUAACAUUAUUUUGUAAGGAGUUAGUUUAUAGGAAAAGGUAUGCAUAGAUAGUUUAGUAUAUAGGAAAAGGUAUGCAUGGAAAGAUAUGUACAGAACUAGGCGUGUCAAAAACAUCUGCCUAGACCGAACUCGGGUGAUGCGGGUGGGGUAGGGAAUGAGGUUGGGCCGGAUUCGAGUUUCACUUGAUAAGUUUGAGUAUAAAUUAUAUAUUAUUUUAAAUAAUUAUAUUUAUUUGGUGUAACUAUUACAUAUAUUUAAAAUUUUAAAUAUUUAAAGUUUAUAUUUUUAAGUAUAAUUUCAUUAAAAUAAAAAUUUAAAAACCAUAAAAUUAUAAAUAAUUAAAUAUAUAUAAAAAAAUUAUAAAAUAUAAAUUUUGGUUUUUUUAUAAAUUAAAAAAUAUAUAUAAUAUUAUAAAAAUUAGCCAGCCUUGGGUGUGCAAAAAACAUGUUCAGGUUGGAUCCAAGCAUUGUCAUACCUAGGAUCGGCUUGGGUUUUUGCAAUUCCUAUAUAGAAAGGAAGAACAUCGAAGAAAUGAAUUUAUACAUAAAAUAUUUAUCUCAUUGUUAUUGAUAGUAGGAUUCAUUUGAGAUUGUUUUUAAGAGGUUCAAAAGUGGUAAAAGUUAAUUUGUCUUUGAUAAAUUUUUUUAAAAAAUGACUUUUAAAAUCACUUCAUCCUAUAGAACAUUUUAAAAAGUAAGGAAGGAAAAACUUUCUAAAAUAUGAUUUUGAGAAUCAAUUUAAUACUAAAUAGCAAUUUUAUAUACAUCCUCACAAAUAUUAUAAAAAUUUAAGAUUAACUUUAUUCAAUCAAGAAAUAAAAUCAUUGCAUUUAAAUGCAUUAUUAUUCUUACCAAUUAUAUUGAGAUAACAAAAAUAAAAAAUAAAAUUAAUAAGUAAAAAUAUUUAUUUUAGUUAUCAAUUAUUUUAUAUAUACAGAGUAAAAAAGUUAUAUAAUACAUGUUUGUAAUUAUUUAAAUUUUAUUAACAUUAUAUAGGGUGGUAAUAGGACGGGAUGGAAUGAGAUUUGUCAUUCCCAGUACGAUAAACUAAACAUAUACAAGUGUUUUUUAAAUUUACAGUAUUUUGAAAAAUAAAUUUUGUUUAACAUUUAAUUGAUUUUCUUUAUAACUCAUUAUUUCUACUGCAUAGCUAAUAACAAUUAUUUUGAAAGUAAUAGCAUUAUCGAACUGGUCCUUAUUCAAUUCACUAUUAAUUUGACGUACAAUUCUUUAAGAAAAUGGUAAAUUUUGGAUUACCCCAUUCGCUAAAUGACAAUCUCUAAAAUACACCUAAAAUAUUGUAAAUCUCAACUUAAUAUCAAUUUUUGUGCAAAUAUAUAAGGGCAAAAUGGGAUCAAGUUGAUAAAAAUAAAAUUUAUCUUCUUAACAAAAAUAAGAGUAAGUUCAUAUUUAUAAUAAUUUUAGAAUAUUUUGAAGAUUGUCGUUUUAUAAGGGAAAAUUUGUUCAAGUUAUGAAGUUUGAACCAAUAUGCAACAUCUUCUAAUUGCCAUUUCUGCUGUCUCAAUAGUGUAUUUAUACCAUUUGGUUUUUAAGUAUUAUUUGCCACCUUGACAUUGAAUUAUCCAUUGGAUGAUACUAGACUAAUUGUGAUCAAGUUGAUUUAUGCAAAUAUAAUUCAAACUCCCGCGACUAUACUUUUCCUUAUUGUUACUUUUUAAUCGUUUAAUAAAUGACCACAAAAAAAUUGAACGCAUUUACUAUUCUAAUAUUAAUAGAGCCACAAACACUUAGUUACAUUUAUAUAUACAAAUUGAUGUAGUAUUUAUUACAUCAAUUUACAUAUGGGUGAAAUGAUUAAUUUUUCACUUUUCUUUGUAAAUACAAGUUUCUAUGAAUAGUUUCUCUUAUUGUUUUGACACAUCAAUUAUAUUUCAACUCAAAAUAAAGAGAAAAAAUAAUCAGCAAAUUAGAUUGGUGCAUUGGUUAUUCUUUGUUAAUUGAAAGCUUUUUAUUUAUUUAUUUAUGUUAGUUGAAGAAAUUCAAGCUUUGUUUACUAUGAAAGAACGUUUAAAAGGCGGGAAAAAAAAGAAAAAAGCUAACGAAUUUGGGAAUUUCAAAAUUGUUGCAUCUUUUAAGUUGUAAUUUUAGAAAUGUCUCAACUUUGACUACACAACAAGAAAAAGCUUUUAUGCUUUUUCUUUGACCAAUUUUUACUGUUGUCAAAAUUACACUCUUUUGAAACAAAAAAUUGUGAAUAGUCUUUCAUUUAGGAAGAUUGAUAAUUUCUCCCUUCCUAAAAUUAAUGUACACUGCAUUUCUUUUUAUUAUUUUCAUAAUAACUAAUAGAGUUGGAUUAUUAGCACCCCUUCAAAAUCUUAUUACCCCUAUUUCAAUUAUACUUCAGUUAUUGUAAAAAAUACCCUUUUUUUUUUUAAAGAACCCUUCUUUCCCACUUAAAAAUCUUUCAAUUUACAAUCAUUUUCUCACACUUAUAAUUCUUUUGCGAUGAAAUGUAAUGGUUUCCCCCAAAAGAAAAUUGGUACAAACUAAGUAUAGAUGCUUCUGUAAACGGUACAGAAGGUUUAACGGAAAUUAGAGUUGUAGUCACUGGUCAAGAAGAGUUUAAAUUUAUGGCGGCAUUAAUUUGCAGGAAAUUUUGUACUAGUAAUGUGGAAAUUGUAGACUUAGAAACGACUUUACGAAGAGUCAAAAUGGCUAAAGAUGCUGGAUUGUAGGUGAAUUUAGCGACUUCACAACUGACAAAAAUGAAGUUAUUAUUAAGCAUAUGCCUAGAGUAUCAGCCAAUCUUGUAAUUUCCCUUCUUGAACACCUGGGGUGGCUAGAAGAAGCUUUCGCAGAUAAGAUAUUGCAAAUAUGUUGUAGCUUCCUUACUUUGUUUAAUAUAAAAUACUCCUUUUACCCUUUUUUUUAAUAAUCUCUUUUACGCAAAAAAAAAAAAAACUGCAAUUUUGAUAUCUCUAAUCUUCUCAAACUUUCUCUCUCUACAAAACUAAAAAACUUUAGCUGCCCAAAAAUAAAAAUAAUUCAUAUAAAAAAAGGAUUGUUGUUUUAAGAUUGUGCAAACCAAUCUUAUAGGUGGGAAUAAAAAAGAGAGAAAAGGGGAGAGGAAAAAAUACAUGCAGUUAAUUCUUUUUGUAUUUGUCCUUAAAUGUAAUUACAAUAUAAUAAGAGUUUUAUAAGAUCAAUUAAGGGGUGCCAAUAGUCGAACUCUAACUAAUAAUUUCCCUGGUAAUAUAAUUUUAUAGUAUUAUUAUCCUUAUUUUCAAAUAUAUUUUUAUUUGUAUUUAUUAUAAAUUAAAUAAGUCAUAUAAAGAAGAAUUAAAAUAAAAAAUGAAGUACUAAAAAUAGAUAUAUGUUUCGGUGUGAAUAAAAAAUUAAUAAGAAGAUACUUUUUUUAAUUUUUAAUUUUUUAAAAUAUUUUCUCAUAAUAAAUAUAUAUUUUAUAUUUUCAAGCUAAAUUAUUAUAGAAAUUACUCAUUUACCCCUCUCUUCAUUUAAAUUUUUUGUGCCAUAAUCAUUUUUGAAUAUUAUAAAAAUAAUAAGGAAUAAUUGGUAUAUAUUAAUUUUAACAGAGAGAAAAUAGACAUUCUCUCUUUCAUUUAUUUAUUUAUCCUAAAAAAUUAAUACGGGCUUUUUCUCUUACAUCUACAAAAGAAAAUACUUGAUGAGAUAUUGGAAGAAACCAAUUUCACAUCGAAGACUUCCAAAACUUUGAAGCCACAAACAAGACCAUAAGAAACAACACACGGUCAAAAUUCAAAAUUAUCACAGAACACUCCUCUCUUUCCUUGCCAUAUCUUCAUUUCAACUCUCAUUACCAAAUCUUUUGUUCUUCACAAAACCAUAAAUUAUACUAUUAAAGUUCUCAACUUCUCCUCCAUCUCCUUCUUAUUCUCUUAUCAAAUUAUUCAAUUCUAAGUUGCCCAUUUCAUAAUUUUCUCUUAAACCCAAAGCCGAUCUCUUAAAAUUCUCAUUUUACUUCGUGCAUAAAAGGGUGGAUUUUUUUUGUGUUCAUUGAUUUUGAAUGGUUAUUUGUUUGUUAACGCAUAAAUUUAUUUUUCAAGUGAAGUUAGUAUAUAGGAAAAGUAUGCAUAGAUAUAGAGACAGCCAUAGCAUGGCCCAUCAAAGGAUGACUCAUUAGGACCGGUGGGCCCACAUGGCACGGCACACUAUGUGAAUGAUCCGUGACAUACCAUGCAUUUUUUUUCCUUUGGGCCAGUAUGGCCACCCCACAGGCCCACAUGUGCCAUGCCCGAGAAAAAGUACGACAAGUUUUUUAAUUAUUUUUUUCAUUUUUUUAAAGAAAGUAUGCUAAGCUAUUGGCAUACUUUUGUCAAACCCAUGUACUUUUCUUAGGCUCACAUGCCUUUAGUCCAAUUUAAUAAAAUAAAAAAUUUAAAACUCAAGUCAAUACUUGAUAAUAAUAAACUAAAAAUAGUACGAGAAUGUAAUACUAACUACUAAGUUAGAGCCUAUGGUAUUAGAAUUUUUUCUUAAUACUUAAUACUUAAUAAUAAUAAUAAUAAUAAUAAUAAUAAUUUUUUUAAGGGUCAACAUUUAGUUGUUAACUUGAACUUAUAUAAAUACAUAGAUCAUAAUCGAUAAUAGCAUUAAUGCUUACAAGUUUCAAAUUAAAAUAUAAAAAUUAAUAUCACAUUAAGACAACUAUAUUAUCUAAUUUUGCAAUAACCAAUUAUAAAAUAUUGAUACAUAAAUCUAAUUCCAUAGACUAUGGUAAUGAUUAAUGAAGAUUUAAAAUUAUAACCUCCAAAAACCGAUUACAACAAGUCACAACUACGAAAUAUUAAUUAUAACAAGUCACAAUUCACAACUAUGAAAUAUUGAUUAAUCACAGUUACAAUAAAUGAAUAAGGUUAAUUCUAUCUUGGUGGUGAAUCAAACAAGCUGACAAUUGUUGAUAAAAACCCAUUAUGCCAUGGAUAACUAAAUACAUUUAGCCUUGCAUUGUUGUUGUUUUAUUGAGGUUCUACUGCAUCGACAUCGUGCUCUUGAGGGUGUUAAGGUUCUUCUGCAUUCCCAUUGUAUCCUUGAGGAUCCAUUGUGAUUUUGGAAUACAAAAAAAGUUAAAAAAAAAAAAGAAUUCUAAUUUCUACUGAUAUUCACAAGUCAUAACUUACGCUCUGAUAUUCACAAGUCAAAACUUAUAAUUGUGAAGUGUCAUAGUAUAUUGGUGUGUAUGUAUAAUUAGUAGUAAAAGUACAACAGGUGGUUAGAUAGGUGGGACUCAGAGGUAGGUAGAAAUUAAUUAGUGAAAUAUUAAAUUUGUGGAGGUAGAGAUUUUUCCAUUUUGGCAAGGAAAAAAAGGUAUUAAAUUAUUAGAAAAAUAAAUGAAAAAAUUAAAAGAAAUGAACAUUAUAAAAGAGUAUAGAAUUGUGCAAAAACAAUUGAUUAAUUUGACUACAUAAGUGCUCACAAUUUUCAAUUGCACACAAUUUUCAAUUUUCACAGGCUAAAAAAGUGAAGUUGAUUUAAAUACACAAUUUAAAAGUGCAUCAUUCACUGCUCGCAAUAAGGCAUCGACCAAAAAAUAAAUUUCUUUGAUUAUUUAAUAGUAAAGAAAUUCUGAAUUGAUUUGACUAUUCAUUCAAUGGUUAGAAAAAAUUAUAAAAAGAUUAUGAAUUGAUUUGACUACUCAUCUAACAAAUAAAACAACUUAAAACAAAAGUAAAAAGUAAAUAAAACAAUAACUAGAUUUACAGUCUUGUAGGAAGCUCUGCGAAAUUGUGUAUGUUAAAAAUUUUAACUGUUAUUUAUUUUUUUCCUUUUUUACUUUAUUUAAAUAGUUUUCCUUUUUUACUCUAUUUAAAUUGUUUAAUCAUUUUCAAUUUUCAUCUCAAUUUCAACUCAUACUCUCUCAGUGGACCCAAUGUCCUCUAAAUUCUCCUAUAAUCCCAAGCAACUUCUUCUUUUUACUUAAAUCUCGAACAAAAGUAAAACGCCAUUCAAUUGGUUUCUCUGUCACUUCUCUCUUGCUCCCUUAUUUUUUUCAUUUUUUUUCACCCACACAACUACACCACAGUACACAAGUUUUAUACUUUUAUUUAAAAAAAAUUAUAUAAUAUGUCUCACUCUCACAAUAAUUAUAUGAGAAGACAUUUUGAGUUGUAUGAAAAUUUUAAUUUUAUUGAAGAGGGAAAUGAAGUUGUGGAUGAAGAAAUUGUUGCGUCAGAACUUGAUCUAGAUAUUAUAUUUAUUAUCCGACCUGAGCGAUCUCCUCCUACUUCUCAAGCAAGUCACAGUAGUUCUAUUUCUACCACUACUGGUUCUAAUUCUAUCAUCAGUACCAAAUGACCAAGAAUAUCAAUUGUUUGAUCAUGUUUUAGUUUGGAGAAAGUUCUAAACAAAAAGGGUGAAAUUGUGGAUGCAACAGUGGGCAAAUUUUGUCAAGCCAUUUUAAGUGUCAAAAGUAAAAGUGGAACAUGGCAUCUCAAACGGCGUAUGAAUACUUGUCAGACAAAACACUAUCCACAAGACCCAAAAUAAACAUAAAUUUCAAAAUAUGGUUUUGGACCUUUCAGUACUAUAACAUCAUUCAUAUGUUCACAGCAGAACAUGUGAGAAGGAUUGGCUAUGUAUCUUGCUACAACAAAGCAACCUUUAAGAUUUGUAAAAGUUAAACAACUGACGAAAAUUUUGCAAAGGUAUGUUCAGGUUCAACUUAAGAAAGUACCUAGAAAUAUACUAAAAUGUGAUUCAAACAAAAUUUUUAAUGAGAUGAAAAAAUUAUUGACUAAUACUUUUAUCAAUUUCAAAGGUGUUAUUUCAAUUUUUGCUGAUUUUUAGAUUGGUAUUAAUAUGACUGGUUAUUUUCUAUGACUUCGUAGUCUAUUCAUACGAUUAAUGAUGAAUUGAGGUUGGAAAAAAAUUAUUUUCAUUUUUUGAUUUAGACUAUCAUCAUACUGGUUUAGUAAUUUACUCAGCCAUAAUGUUCGUUUUAAGAGAAUAUGAAAUUACUAAUAAACAUUUUAGCAUAUCAUUUGAUAAUGCAUCAGCCAAUGCUGCUACAAUUGAUAUGUUUUGUGGAAAAGUUCUACUCUCUCACCUACAAAUGGCUCAAAAUGUUUCAUGUUAGAUGCGUAUGUUAUAAUUAUUAUUUUAAUUGUUCAAGUUGGUAUGCUCCAUAUAAAUCCUUUUGUCUACAUUAUAAACUUUUGAAUUAAAAAAGAGUAGAUUCACCUUGAAAUGGAAGUUUAUUAGAAUUCUAUAUCUUUGAUGUUGCUUUCUUGCCAAAAUUUUUCUGAAGCAAUUUUUAGUUUUUAUAAUGAGAGAACAAAUGAUGAAGAUUGUCAUAUAAAUGAUUAUGAUUAGAAUGUUGUAUAUAAAUUUCUAGAUUUUUGAAGGUAUUUUAUGAUAUGCCUGUUACAUGUUCUACUUUUUAUGAAUCGACUUCAUGUAAAGUGUUAAGGCAGGUGUAUAAUAUGAGUGAUGCUCUUAAGACUUUUAGAGAGAAUAAUAUGUUUACAAUUAUUUUUUAUGCUAGGGAGGAAAAAUUCCAAAAACAUUGCAAAGAUAUUCCCCACCUAUUUAUAUUUGCAGUAGUACUGGAUCCUACAAUCAAGAUAGUUAGUGCAAAACUUUUAGCUGAUGGUAUAACAGAAAAUUUGCUCACAAGACUAGAUAUAAAUUUUGCUACACUUAUGUUUUUUAUGAAUGAACUUUUUGUUAGCCUAAAAGGCUACACAUAAUGUAAUUUUGAUGAUAACAAACAUGUGUCUUAAGUGAUUUGAUAAAUAUUAUAUUUCACAUUUUCAUUAGUUCUUGAAGGAUAAUAUUUAUGAUGAAAUGAACCACGUGAAAUCAAGUUCAAGACACUCAACGGACACUCAACGGACAACGGCGCGAUCAAGAAUAAAGUUUAGAGCUCAACGGACUCAUUAUUGCAAUAAUUCUUGUAAAGCCGGUAUGAUUUAAUAUAUGUAUGGUUUAGCAUUUGAGAAGUUCAAGAUUUCGUUUAAUAAAUCAUUAUUUUUCAUAAAUCAAAGGCUUUACAAUUAUAAACCAAGCAUUUUAUGAAAUUUGCUAUAUUUCAAGAUGUGGACUAAAAUGAAAAAGUUUUACAAUAUUUGAUUUUAACAAGUAUUGUUUUGAAUUUCGGUUUUGGACAUAUUGUUUGCAAAUAUUUGAAACGUUUUGCGCUAUACUCUAAUUUCUUAAUGUUUUGGGGUAAAAAAUAUAAAUAUUAAAAAUGGACAGAGAGUUAGUGGCUAACCACCUGAGGGCUAGCGGUUAGCCGCCUGAGGAAAUUUUCAUAUUUUCAAAAUUUAGACUAAAUUCAAAGGAUUUUGAGAACUUUGAAAUUUAUAAGUAUUUUGUUAAAGUUUGAAAAGGACUUUUUUGAAAAAUAUUAUCAUGUUUUGUGUCAUAUCAUAAUUUCAAAAAAUUUUAGAAAUGACAAGCAUUAUUUUGAAAUUUCUAAAAUUGGACUUGUUUAAAAGUUCUAUGACGUAUUGGGCCAUAAUAUAAUUACAGAAAGUUUUGGGUAAAAUAAUAAUUUUGUGAACAUGUUAUUGUAGCAAAAUUCAUAUUUAACGAUGACUUUACUAUUCUGAAGCGAGGAGCCGACUAAAUUAAGCGGCUAGCUGCUUGCUUGUUGGUAUUUUACUAUAACGGCUAGUUUUUGCACUUUAACUAUAAAAACCCAACUCCAACUUCAAUUUUGAGAUUUUUGCAAGCAUAAAAAAAUUCAAAACAACGUAGUUUGAGCUUCCAAUUCGCAAAUCAUCAUAGAUUAAAUAUUCAUUGAGCUAUUAUUUGUAUAUCCACUCUUAAAGAGAGUUUCUUUUUUGUAAUCUUUAUUUUCUCAUCAAAUUUGUGAGUGUAUAAGUGUGAGAAACACUUGAGUGAAGAGAUUGAGAGAUAAUCUCUUGAUUGUAAAAGUUUAUUGACACCUUGAAAGUCAAUUGUAAAGAACUUGAAGCCUUGGGAGACUUAGAUAGUGAAAUUUUUUAGGUUGGUUGGCUUGGAGGCGUGGAUGUAUGCGGGGAUUGCCGAACCACAUAAAAAUAUUAUGUUUGCCCUCUCUUCACUUACCCUUUUAUUAUUGUGCUUUAUUGAAUUUAUUAUUUUUUAUUUGAUUAAGACAGUAGAUUAAAUUGUUGUGUGAAUUGUUUCGCAUAAGUUUUAAAAUCUCAAUUCACCUCUUGGGUUGCAUAACUUGCAUUUCACUUUUUAAUUUUUAUCUAAACAAAUUCAGAUCAAGGAUUACAUAUUCUGAUGUUCAACAAGCAAUGACCUUUCAUAGAAAUCUAGCUCAUCUUUUGUUGCUCAAAAGUAGGGUAUUGCUUCUAAUAUUGAUACUAAUCGCAAUGAAAUGCAAAGGUAUUUUGCCUCUAAUCUUGAAGAUUUAGUAACUACUUCACAAUUGAAAAGAUAUUUUAGAAUUUUGGAAGGGUAAGACAUCUUUUUUCCCUAUACUAUCUGAAAUACUAACUAGGCAACCCAAGAGGGGGGGUGAAUUGGGAUUUUAAAAUUUAAGCUAAGCAAACCACACAACAAUUUAAUCUAUUGCCUUAAUCAAAUUGAAAACAAUAAAUUCAAUCAUGCACAAUAUUAAAAGAGUAAGGGAAGAGAAAACAAACACAAUGAUUUUUACGUGGUUCCGCAAUCCCCGCCUACGUCCACGCCUCCAAGCUCACCGGGCUUGAGGAUUUCAUUAAGCUAGCCUCCCAAGGCUUCAAACGCUUACAAUUGACUUCUAAGGUGUCAAUGGACCUUUACAACAAGAGAUUAUCCCCAAUCUCUUAACCCAAGUGUAUCCGAACACUUACAAUCUUUUAACUUGAUUUUACAAAAAAUAUUACAAAUGAAUCUCUCUCACACAAUGUGUUUGAUCACAAGUGAAAGCUCAAUGUGUGAAUGAAUGAGAUGAAUACAAGAAUUUAAAACUCAAUAAAAGUUGUAUUCUCAAUAUUUUGCUCAAUGAUGAUCGUUGGAAUUCCUCUUGUUUGAAUUGGACUGAACUUAUUUAUAGUUGGAGUUGAAAACUAGCCGUUAUUGACUUUCUGCACACUGUCGGAUCGCCGUUAUCUAGAUGUCGGAUCGCCGUUUGACUGGUCAAUAUGACUGUUGGGUUGAUUUUUCAAAUUGUCGGAUCGCCGUUAACUAUAUGUCGGAUCGCCGUUUAGGUCUAGAGGCUACUGGUUGAUAUCGGCGAGCCGUUUAUCACACAUGUCGGUUCGCCGUUUAGGUCUAGAGACUAAUCUUCAAUUCUGUUAGAUGUCGACGAGCCGUUAUCAAGAUAUCGGAUCGCCGUUUUCUACAGUAACUGCUACAGUGAAAUAUUUUCUAAAUUUACCGUUUGACCCCAAAACUUUAUAAAACUAUGUUACGGCCCAAAAUAUUAUAAAACUUUACAAAUAGGUCCAAUUUCAGAAUUUCUAAGUAAUGCUUUGUUAAUCCCAAAACUUUCUAAAAUUAUGGUAUAGCCCAAAAUGCUAUGACACUUUUCAAAUAAGUCAUUCUCCAAAAUUUCAAGCAAUACUUGUUUAUUUCAAAAUUUUCAAAAUUCUUUCAAUUAAACCAUAAACUUGGAAAAACAACCAAUUUUAUAAAAUCAUUUUUCCAUUAAAUAUGAAACAUUUAUAAUGUGAAAAUAAUGAUUUAUUUAAAAAGAAUAAAAACAAUCAAUUUCAUAAAAUCAUUUUUCCAUUAAGUAUAAAACCUUUAAAAUAUGAAAAUAAUGAUUUGUAUAAAAAAUAAUUUUAUCUUAAAAGAUUAAUCAUUUUUAAUCUUGUUUGUUAUCAUCAAAAUCAAUAUUAUGGAAACAUAUAUGUUAACAAUCUCCCCCUUUUUGAUGAUGACAAACGUUUCAUGUAUUUAAAAAAUAAUUGCACAAAUUGCUCCCCCUAAAUGUAAGCUUCUCUUACAAUUUAGUUAAAUUAACAAAUUUAAAUACAUGCAUUCUUCUCCCCCUCAUCAUCAAAAAGAAAACUUGGUGAAAAAGAAAAAGAGUAGCAAAUUUGUUACCCAUGUAGCCGAGUAGAAAUUUUGACACAUUCUCCCCCUAUCAACAAGCAUUACCUCAAAUACAAGUUUAGUAAUAUUACUCCCAAAUUAUUAUAAAUCAUGAUACAUGCCAACUCCAUACACAAAUUAUCACACAAAAAUAUCAUGAACCAUUAUUCUAUCAAAUACCAAGUCAACAACUCAUAACAUAAAUUUAUCAUAUAAAACACCUAUGUAAUCAAAUCAUCAUCAUAUCUCAAAAUCAUCAAGUUCUCACCAUAAUCACAUAUCAAUUAUCAAAAUAAUUACUCAAAAUGCAUAUUAUUCUCCUCCUUUGACAAUAUCGAAAUGAGAUAUUACUUUGUCUCCCCCUUUGGACAACAAAAAAGUUCAAAAUGCAUAUUAUCCAAAAUCAUAUUAUAUGCUCCCCCUAAAUAUAUGGCCAAUUAAAAAUUUUAACAAAAAUGAUUUUAUCCAAAAACAUAUCAUAUUUAUCUCCCCCUUCAUCGUAAAAAAAAAAAAGAUAGAUAGAUGCAAUCGAAACAAGAUCAUAAAAAAUAAUUCAAUGAAAAUAUUACCCACUUUGUGCGAGCAAAAAUUUCGGCAAAGUCUCCCCUUAAAAAUGAACAAAUCCUCAAAUACACAACAUGAUUAAAAACACUUCCAUAUAAGCUUAAACAAUUAUAACAAACCGACAACUCAUUUAAUUCAUCAAGCAACGCACAUAUAAUCAUCAAUUACCAAAAUCAUCAAGAAAUCAAAUCAUCCCAAGUUUAUGCCGAAUUUUUUCUAAAAUUCUUCUUCGCAAAGAGGUUUUGAUUUCUUUACCAAAUUGGCAUGUAUAUUAUCAAAUAUUCAAGCUCCAUAAUUACCAAUCACAUUUUAUAAAUAAAGACAACUAAACUCAUCAAAUAUCUAAUGGGACAUUUCAAUAUAACAUAAAAAAAAAAUUUCAUAUGCUUAAAAUUCUCGAAGUAUAUGUAUUUCUCCCCUUUUCGAUAUUAUUUAAAGCAAGUAAUGCAUAUUUGACAAUACAUCAAUAAAGUACAAAAAAUGCAUCUAUUCACCAAUCAUAGAUCCCAUAAGAUCAAACUUUCUCAAAUACAUGUAAUUAUCAAAGCAUAUUCUUUAUCUCAAAUCUUAAGCAAAACAUAAGUGUAUAAUUGCAAUAUAAGAUCAUCAAAAUCAACAAAGCUAUUAAGAUAAGCCAUCAUUAUGAGUAAAGAACAAGUGAUCAAAUUCACAAGCACAAUUAGUGCGAAUUUUAUAAAUAAUAUAACACAAUUAAUGGCAUAUGAAUUCAUACAUACAUAAGAGAUGGACAAUGAUGGUAGACAAUUAAGAAGAUGAAAUCAAAGACCAUACAAUCAUUAAAAUCGAACAAAGACAUCAUGAGAAAUCACUCAAUGUUAUACACAAUGAUAAUUCCAUCAUGUAAUCAUACAAGCAUACUUUCACAAAUUCAUUUAUCAUGAUUCAUUCAACAAAAUUAAUAUGGCAAGAAUUGUUACCAAAACAAUUAAAUCAUCUUGCCUCAUCUUUUUCUCCUAGAUCAUACUCAAGUGAUUAUCCUCAGAAUCUUUCAUCAAGGAACUUCUCCACCAUUCCUUGAUUGUAGUACCUACAAAAAAUAUUCACAUUGUGUCUUUUGGUACCCAAAUAUGCUUGGGUCCUUGAGUGUUAGGAAUUGUUCCUUUUGGAACCCAAACACAUUUCACUCCAUAAUACACAUUUCUUUUAAUUGGACAUCUAUUCUUCAUGUGACCAUUUCCAUUACAAUAAUGACAAACAAUCUUAUGAUCACUUGUGGAGGUAGCUUUAACAAAAUAAUUCUUAUAAUAUUUUUAUUUCAAAUAAGGCUUAUACCCAAGUCCUCCUUUAUCAAACACACAUUUUUGAGAAUUAAUCAAGUUAUCCAACAUCUUUUGUCCAUUUGUAAAAUUUAAAACAAUCUCAUUUAACUCAUUGCUCUUCUUCUUAAGCAUUUCAUUUUCCUUUUUCAAGUCAUCUAUGUGAUAUUUUAGAUGCUCAUGUGAAGUGCUAGAUUUCUCAUUUGAUAAUGCAACUCUAUCAUGCAAUGUUUUAUUCUCUAAUUCUAGGCAUGUAAUCUUCGCACAUAGAGAUUCAUUUUCAUUUUUGAGCUCUACCAUUUUCUUUUUAAGACAUGCAUUCUUUUUACCAAUUUUUAUCCAAUUAUCAUGCAAUUCUUUAAAAGCAUCAUAUAAUUCAUCAUAAGUAAAAAGAUCAUUUACCUCAUCAAGUUCAUCAUCCGAUUCAUCUCCAAUUGCCAUGAGAGCUAGAUUUGUCAUUUCUUGAUGCUCUUCAUCAUCACUUGUUUCCUCAUCGCUAUCAUCCCAUGUGACUACCAUUGCUUUCUUCUUGAGCUUGUUGAGAAUAGGGCAUUCCGUUCUUAUAUGACCAAGCUUCUUGCACUCAUAACAUUUGAUUAAUUCCUUCUUCUCCUUUCGGUUCCUGAGGUCUCUAAAUUUUCUUCGCUCACCGGAUUUCUUAAAAAGUUUUCUGAACCUCCUAGCCAGCAUAUCCAUCUCCUCCUCAUCCAGCUCGCUUUCCUCAUCACUUUCAUAUUCGAGGCUUUGAGAGCAAUGCUUUUCUUCUUCUCCUCAUUGCUUCUUUCGGCUGCCAUGUCUUGCUCAUAAGAAAUAAGAGAACCAAUUGAAUCAUCAAUAGGUAAGAUAUUCAAAUCUUUAGCUUCCUCAAUGGCAGUCCUUUUUGGUCUCCAUUCCUUAGGUAGCGACCUAAUAAUUUUCUUAACCUUCUCGCUAUUUGAAAGUCUUUCCUAGGGCUCCUAGAGUGUUCACUAUGUCCGUAAAUCUAAUAUACAUAGAAUACACACUCUCAUUUUGUUCCAUUUGGAACAAUUCAUAUUGCCGAGUGUACUUACUAAUUUUAGACUCUUUCACUUGAUUUGUGCAUUUGUAAAUAACUUCAAGUUUGUGCCAAAUUUCAUUAGCACUCUCACAACUAGAUACUCUAUGAAAUUCUUUCUUAUCUAGUGCACAAAACAAGGCAUUCAUAGCUUUGGAAUUUAGAGUAGCUUUUCUCUUUUCCAAUUCAUUCCAUUCUCGUGAAGGUUUUGGAAUAUCUUCCCCGACUUCAUUUUUAGUCAAAGGCAUAAAUUGACCAUCACAAACAAUUUCUCAAAUUUCAUAAUCUAAAGCUUGUAAAUAAAUUCUCAUCCUAGUUUUCCAAUAAGGGUAGUCAUUACCGUCAAAGAAUGGUGGUCUAAUUGUGGAUUGUCCUUCCCUAAAGAUUGAGUCAUUAUGAGUUGCCAUGGAUCUUUAACUCUAGACGGUUAAGUCUACACAAGAGCACCUCGCUCUGAUACCAAAUGAAAUACUAACUAGGCAACCCAAGAGGGGGGUGAAUUGGGAUUUUAAAAUUUAAGCUAAGCAAACCACACAACAAUUUAAUCUAUUGCCUUAAUCAAAUUGAAAACAAUAAAUUCAAUCAUGCACAAUAUUAAAAGAGUAAGGGAAGAGAAAACAAACACAAUAAUUUUUACGUGGUUCCGCAAUCCCCGCCUACGUCCACGCCUCCAAGCUCACCGGGCUUGAGGAUUUCACUAAGCUAGCCUCCCAAGGCUUCAAACGCUUACAAUUGACUUCCAAGGUGUCAAUGGACCUUUACAACAAGAGAUUAUCCCCAAUCUCUUAACCAAAGUGUAUCCGAAUACUUACAAUCUUUUAACUUGAUUUUACAAAAAAGAUUACAAAUGAAUCUCUCUCACACAAUGUGUUUGAUCACAAGUGAAAGCUCAAUGUGUGAAUAAAUGAGAUGAAUACAAGAAUUUAAAACUCAAUGAAAGUUGUAUUCUCAAUAUUUUGCUCAAUGAUGAUCGUUGAAAUUCCUCUUGUUUGAAUUGGAUUGAACUUAUUUAUAGUUGAAGUUGAAAACUAGUCGUUAUUGACUUUCUGCACACUGUCGAAUCGCCGUUAUCUAGAUGUCGGAUCGCCGUUUGACUGGUCAAUAUGACCGUUGGGCUGAUUUUUCAAAUUGUCGGAUCGCCGUUAACUAUAUGUCGGAUCACCAUUUAGGUCCAGAGGCUACUGGUUGAUAUCGGCGAGCCGUUUAUCACAUAUGUCGGUUCGCCGUUUAGGUCUAGAGACUAAUCUUCAAUUCUGUUAGAUGUUGGCGAGCCGUUAUCAAGAUGUCGGAUCGCCAUUUUCUACAGUAACUGUUACAGUGAAAUAUUUCCCAAAUUUACCGUUUGACCCCAAAACUUUAUAAAACUGUGUUACGGCCCAAAACGUUAUAAAACUUUACAAAUAUGUCCAAUUUCAGAAUUUCUAAGUAAUUCUUUGUUAAUCUCAAAACUUUAUGAAAUUAUGGUAUAGCCCAAAAUGCUAUGACACUUUUCAAAUAAGUCAUUCUCCAAAAUUUCAAGCAAUACUUGUUUAUUUCAAAGUUUCAAAAUUCUUUCAAUUAAACCAUAAACUUUGAAAAACAACCAAUUUUAUAAAAUCAUUUUUCCAUUAAAUAUGAAACAUUUAUAAUGUGAAAAUAAUGAUUUAUUUAAAAAGAAUAAAAACAAUCAAUUUCAUAAAAUCAUUUUUCCAUUAAAUAUAAAACCUUUAAAAUGUGAAAAUAAUGAUUUGUAUAAAAAAUAAUUUGAUCUUAAAAGAUUAAUCAUUUUUAAUCUUGUUUGUUAUCAUCAAAAUCAAUAUUAUGGAAACAUAUAUGUUAACACUAUCCAUUAUGGCUCAUGAUUUACUAACUCCUCCAAUUUUAAUUGUAGCACCAGAGUUAGCUUUUAGUGAAAGUGGCAGAAUUCUAGAUGAACAUCGGUCAAAUUUGUCAUCAGAAACAUUAGACUUUUUGAUGUGUGUGAAAGAUUGAGAAGAUUGUUGCCAACAAUUUUAAUAUACUUGCAAGCGCACAAAUCUAAAAAUAGAAUAGUAAUAACGAGGUCGAACUUACCGGAAUUACUAUAAAUUGAAAAGUCUAUUUUAAUUCUAAAAUUAAUAUUAAUCCUAACCUAGUUGAGCAAAUUGAGUUUUUAAGAGAAAUAAAACUAAUAAAACUAAGAAAAUAAUUAAAGUAAAGGAAAAUUCAAUAAGAAAAAAAUUACCAAGGUUUCAAAAUCCACCACUAUUCAACUAGUAAGUAUCUAAUUGUUAAUUAAUUCUCAAUUUUAGAGUGACAACUCAAAAUCAAUCUAUGUCAUCUCAUGGAUCUAACAAUUGAGCACAACUAAAAUUAAUAUUAAUCCUAAUCUAGUUGAGCAAAUUGAGUUUUUAAGAAAAAUAAAACUAAUUAAACUAAGAAAACAAUUAAAGUAAAGGAAAAUUCAAUAAGACAAAAAUUACUAAGGGUUCAAAAUCCACCACUAUUCAACUAGUAAGUAUGAAAUUGUUAAUUAAUCCCCAAUUUUAGAGUGACAACUCGGAAUCAAUCUAUAUCAUCUCAUGGAUCUAACAGUUGAGCACAACUAAAAUUAAUCUUGUGUAGGUUCUUUUUCUACUUAAUAGUAUAAUAUAUAAGCAUCCCAUGUAACUAUAUUGAAUGACAAAGAGUCAAAGUUUUCCUAAGCACUCUGUGUAAACAAUUUAAUGAAAGACACAUAAUCAAAGAUAAUCAUUUUUAGACUUUAUAGAUCCAAGCAUAGAUUUAGUCAAAUAAUAACAUUCAACUAAUCGUGUGAAACAAGAAUCAUAAACAUUAAAGAACAUAUUUAGAGAAUUAAUUAAUAAAAAAUAAUUAUUUCAUUGAAUAAGGUUUCAUCCUUAAUUUCAGUAAAAGAAAAUUAGCUAGACAUACUUGAAUUGAGAGCAACAAAAGAAAUCAAAAUCAGCCAUGGAGAAUUAAAUUGCUGUCUUUUCUUCUUUGCUGAAUACUCUCCUUUUGCGUCUCCUUAAUUCAAAACCCAAAACUCCCUUUUAUAAUGCUUGGCCACCAAAUCCUUCAAAUUUUCAAAAGGAAUCCUUUUUGAAUUCUAAUUGAAAUCCUUUUCCAAUUAUAAACUAAAUCCUCCAAAUUAAUGCCACCCUGCCACCAUCAGCCAUAAAUUUGUUUCCACUUUUGAAGUUAAAAGCUCUUGCACGUGCACCCCAAUUGGCAAUUGGCAAAAUUAAAUCUUUUAAUUAUUCCAUAUUCAUGAAUUGGAUUAAUUAAUUGCUUUGAUUUCUUCUGCUCAGAUUCCAUCAAUUCUUGGCUGUAUUUUUGUCUUCUAAUUUAAUCUUUAUUACUUUCCAAAUUAAACUUUUUUAUACCCUUUUUAUCCAUAAUCUCCAAUUAAUUCUCUAUUCAAUAAAAUAAUUCAAUUAAUUAAAAAUAAAAAAUAAAAAAAACGAGCAAUUAUAUAAUUAAGGGUAAAAUAUGUAUGUAUUAUAUGCUCAUCAAAGAUGUUGAAAGCCAAGUGCAACAGGAUUGGCAACAUGCUUUAACGAAAUAUAUUGAGUAUUUGGAUUUUGAUCAAGAGGAAGUGAAUCAAGAUUAUGUACACUAGUGAACACCGAACUUACCUCUAGAGACAAGAGACAAUCUUUCUUUGUAACUGUUUUGAAUAAAUUUUACUUGUGGAAAGGUUGUGAAUUUGCAAAUAACAGAUGGUUUAGUGGGUACCAACCUAGUUAGGAUAUAAUGUCAACUGUAAUAAUGCAAAUUCCAUCUAAUUUUAUUUGAAUUACUAAUAUUGUACUUCCACUUAAACUCCAUUGAAUGAAAAUGCAACUUUUGGUUUAUAAUAAAACCACAUUUCGUUCACAAUUUUAUCUUUUGCCUGUAAAUGAUGAAAAAUAUUUCGUUAACAAAUGAAGUGUAUUUCAUUUGAUUGAUUCAUGAUUUCAUAAAUGAAAUAUUAAAGUCAUAAAAUUUUAAAUUUAUCUUUUAUAAAAUCAUGAUAUUGUUAACAUGUAUGUGUCUAUAAUGAUGAUUUUGAUGAUAACAAACAAGAUUAAGAAUGAUUAAGUUUUUAUAAGCUCAAAUUACUUUUCAUAUAUUUUAAAUAAAUCAUUAUUUUGAUAAAAUAAAGGUUUAAUACUUAAAGGAAAAGUGAUUUUGAAAACUUUGAAAUCAACUAGUGUUGUCUUGAAACUCUGC
rnacentral:lncRNA from 1 species